rnacentral:rRNA from 1 species
AGAUUGAACGCUGGCGGCAUGCCUUACACAUGCAAGUCGAACGGCAGCACGGGAGCAAUCCUGGUGGCGAGUGGCGAACGGGUGAGUAAUAUAUCGGAACGUGCCCAGUCGUGGGGGAUAGCGCAGCGAAAGCUGUGCUAAUACCGCAUACGAUCUAUGGAUGAAAGCGGGGAUCGCAAGACCUCGCGCGAUUGGAGCGGCCGAUAUCAGAUUAGCUUAGUUGGUGGGGUAAAAGCCUAACCAAGGCGACGAUCUGUAGCUGGUCUGAGAGGACGACCAGCCACACUGGAACUGAGACACGUCAGACU